rnacentral:lncRNA from 1 species
CAGGCCCCACAGCCAGGUGGGAUGGAGGCCCCUGAGCAGGGUGUUCCUGUAUAAAACUGUGCCAACUCGUUUGCUGUCACGUGCCUGUGGUCGCCUCAACCAAGUAGAACUUCCUUACUGGCUCCGGAGGCCAGUCUACAGCCUGUAUAUCUGGACCUUUGGGGUGAACAUGACUGAGGCUGCAGUGGAGGACCUGCACCACUACCACAACCUCAGCGAGUUCUUCUGGCGUAAGCUGAAGCCUCAGGCACAGCCUGUCUGCGAUUUGCACUGUGUGGUAAGGCCUGGCUCUUGUCUCCAUUCUUCAUUAGGAAAUGAAACCCUUGUCUGCCUUUAAGCCAGGCUUAGCAGCACCGCAUGGCCGUGGCACUCCGGGAGGCUCCCUCCUGACCUGGACUGGAGCUCCCUGAGGACUUGGCAGGUGGUAGAGUUUGGGGAGCCACUGAAGGUGAGGACUUCCCCCUCCUUACCAUCAAAACUCUGUCUCCUCCAGACCAGCCCAUCAAAUGGCAAGAUCCUCACCUUUGGGCAGGUGAAGAACUCUGAGGUGGAGCAGGUAAAGGGCGUAACCUACUCCUUGGAGUCCUUCCUGGGCCCUCGAGCCAGUACAGAAGACCUGCCCUUCCCUCCAGCUUCCUCCAGUGACUCCUUCAGAAACCAGCUGGUCCCCCGAGAAGGGAAUGCGCUCUACCACUGAGUCAUCUACCUGGCCCCAGGAGACUACCACUGCUUCCACUCCCCCACUGACUGGACCGUCUCACAUCGGUGCCACUUCCCAGGUCUGCCCAGGGGUGGGCAUUAGAGGCCCUUGGCCUUUUGACUUGGGAGGACUGGGCUUGAGGCUGGUGUCGUCAAGGCCAGGAGAGGACUUCUUGAGGUGGCUGGCUAUAGGCGAGGGUAUCUGGGGUCCUGCUUAGAAUUUGGAACGCUUGGCCUGUGAGUCCCUGUGGCUCUUCGGCCAUUCUGAUGUGAACAUGUCAGGGGCUGAGCAGAAAGUAGCAUAUUCUCUUGUCUCUUCAGGUUCCCUGAUGUCAGUGAACCCUGGCAUGGCCCGAUGGAUCAAAGAGCUCUUUUGUCACAAAGAGUCCUAACUGGAGACUGGAAACAUGGGUUCUUCUCGUUGACAGCAGUGGGAGCCACCAAUGUGGGCUCUAUCCGUAUCCACUUUAACUGAGACCUGCACACAAACAGCCCCAGGUACAGCAAGGGCUCCUACACACACGCCAACAAGGAGGGCAUUCCCAUGCGCAAGGGUGAGCCCCUGGGCGAGUUCAACCUGAGCUCCACCAUCGUGCUCAUCUUCGAGGCA